UACGGGGGGGGGCAAGCGUUGUUCGGAAUUACUGGGCGUAAAGGGCUUGUAGGCGGCCAACUAAGUCAGACGUGAAAUCCCUCGGCUUAACCGGGGAACUGCGUCUGAUACUGGAUGGCUAGAGAUUGGGAGAGGGAUGCGGAAUUCCAGGUGUAGCGGUGAAAUGCGUAGAUAUCUGGAGGAACACCGGUGGCGAAGGCGGCAUCCUGGACCAACACUGACGCUGAGGAGCGAAAGCCAGGGGAGCAAACGGG
rnacentral:rRNA from 1 species